rnacentral:rRNA from 1 species
AACGAACGCUGGCGGCAUGCCUAACACAUGCAAGUCGAACGAGAUCUUCGGGUCUAGUGGCGCACGGGUGCGUAACGCGUGGGAAUCUGCCCUUUGGUUCGGAAUAACAGUUGGAAACGACUGCUAAUACCGGAUGAUGACGAGGGCCCAAAGAUUUAUCGCCAGAGGAUGAGCCCGCGUAGGAUUAGCUAGUUGGUGUGGUAAAGGCGCACCAAGGCGACGAUCCUUAGCUGGUCUGAGAGGAUGAUCAGCCACACUGGGACUGAGACACGGCCCAGACUCCGAAGGGAGGCAGCAGUGGGGAAUAUUGGACAAUGGGCGAAAGCCUGAUCCAGCAAUGCCGCGUGAGUGAUGAAGGCCUUAGGGUUGUAAAGCUCUUUUACCCGGGAUGAUAAUGACAGUACCGGGAGAAUAAGCGCCGGCUAACUCCGUGCCAGCCGCCGCCGUAA